rnacentral:sRNA from 1 species
AUGGUAUCUUCAAACUUAGAUAGUCCAUCUUAGCCAUCUUUAGCUCCCGGUUUUUUUGGACUAUCCAAACAACAAAAUGCUUC